GGUAUCAAAAUUGUUUUAUUGCCACAAUGAAUAUACACAUGUAGGUCAAGCCGAGCUAUGUAGACCUUUGUGUGUUUUUAUACGGAUUUGGCAGUGUUCGCCACUCCACCAGGCCACGGAUCAAUUUCUAAACAUGUCCUCUGGUCAGUCGGCCAGUGAGAUAAUCGGAGAGAGAUACAAAGAUGACGACAGAUACCUGUAUGAGUCUGUAUAUCGGGAGCAGCUAUAGAAACUUACAGUAUCGUGCUUAUGUUUACAUCAAUACGGUUAAAUUAAUUUACAAAGCUGCUCUCGAGACCUAAGAGGUGCCAGGCUGCCAAAAUUCCCAGAAAGAGU